rnacentral:rRNA from 1 species
GACAGAGGGUGCAAACGUUGUUCGGAAUUACUGGGCGUAAAGCGCGUGUAGGCGGCUCGGAAAGUCGGAUGUGAAAGCCCUGGGCUUAACCUAGGAAGUGCAUUCGAAACUCCCGAGCUUGAGUUCUGGAGAGGAAGGCGGAAUUCUCGGUGUAGAGGUGAAAUUCGUAGAUAUGGGGAGGAACACCGGUGGCGAAGGCGGCCACCUGGACGGCAACUGACGCUGAGACGCGAAAGCGUGGGGAGCAAACAGG